GAGGGUAUAGCUUAAGUGGUAGAGCGCAUGCUUGGCAUUCACGAGGUCCUGAGUUCAAUCCCCAGUACCUCCU
rnacentral:tRNA from 1 species